UACGGGGGGGGCAAGCGUUGUUCGGAAUUACUGGGCGUAAAGGGCUCGUAGGCGGCCAACUAAGUCAGACGUGAAAUCCCUCGGCUUAACCGGGGAACUGCAUCUGAUACUGGAUGGCUUGAGUUCGGGAGAGGGAUGCGGAAUUCCAGGUGUAGCGGUGAAAUGCGUAGAUAUCUGGAGGAACACCGGUGGCGAAGGCGGCAUCCUGGACCGACACUGACGCUCAGGGGCGAAAGCGUGGGGAGCAAACAGG
rnacentral:rRNA from 1 species